UGUUUGUUUAUUUCAUCUCAAAACAGGUUGUAGCUACCGGUAACCAUAUUGCUUGUUUAACAUCAACACAUCUUGCUGUAUGCUCUUCGUUUGAGAGGCUCCAUGGCAUCUGUUGGGUGGAAAUGUUUCAAAUCUCUGAAAUAUCUCAGAGAGAUAAAGUAUCUGGCGAAAGCUCAGCAAAAGGGAUUAAUGGAUGAAAAAUGUCAAAUGGACAUUGUGAGGAAAGGUGAGGAGAGCCUAAAGUCCAGCAUACAGCAUUCUGAGCAUCAGAAAAGUGUGAACGAUGAUAGGAUACAGAUGGAGAACAAACAGAAAGAGUCACAGUUAAGAGCAACUAAUACUCUGAAACGUAGAUGCAACAGCAUGGAGAAACUGAAACCAGAUUAUUUUAGGCCUUUCUCAUUUUUCUUAGAACUUUCAAGCACUUGACAUGGGUUUGUUCACCAUCUUAAGCAACGUUUGUAGCCUUCAUUGCUACACGCUUGGGAGGCGCUCUUUUGUCCCUGUGUUAAACACACAACAUUUCUAUUCAACUUUCAUUUCAUUAUCAAUCCCAGAAAGCAGGCUCACACAAUGAAUGUUUUAUUUUUAUGUUUAUAUUAGAUAUAUGCCACUGUAUUUGUUUGUACUUAUUGCUCUUUAUAUAAACUAUUAAUUAUAUGCACUUAAUAUAAGUGCUGAGCUAUUGAUUUUAUGAAGUAUCUCAUGUGAAGCCUCACAUCAUAUGAAACUAAAGUGUUUUUGUUGGUUGCUCUGGUAUCUUAAUUCAGAUUUAUUUAAACAGAAUAGGAAUAAAUAUUUAACACAAGAAACAUAACAGUAAAAAUAAAAAUAUACAUACCUGUAUAUUCUAUAACCCUACCCCUAAACUUUCUGCAUUUUUACAUACAUCAUUCUGUAUGAAUUAUAAGCUUGUUUCCUCAUAGGGACUUAUGGGAAAUUUUUCCCAUAAGGUUAGAAUUUACUGGUGUUACUUGUGGGGACAUUUGGUCCCCAUUAAUACCAGUACACAAAUACACACAUCCUCUGAAUAUGCAUUUUAUUUUCUAUGUUUAAACUGUGACUGUACAUAGUAACCUACAAAGGGUGUAUCAACUGUACCAGCUUGUGUAUUUCUUCAAAUACUAUGUUAACCUUUUAACGUUCAUGUUAGAAAAUGUGUCCAUGUUUAUUACAAUUUGAGUAGUUUGUGUGCAAAUGUGACAUUUUACCUAUUUUCAUAACACUGCACAACUAAACGGCAUGUGACCCAAUAGGACACCGAUCUGGGUAUGUGAUACACUGUCUCAACCGUACCCCACUGACAAUCUCAAAAAAGACCUUGCAUGGCACAAUGUCAUCAGAGACGGACGGGGAGUGAAAUAUGGCCCUGGAUUUUCUCCAAAAUAAGCCCACCAAAACCAUCAAUUUGUAACCAUUAAAACAAUUAAAUAAUG